rnacentral:rRNA from 1 species
CGAAGGUAGCAUAAUCAGUAGUCUUUUAAUUGAAGGCUUGUAUGAAUGGUUGGACGAAAUAUUAACUGUUUCAUUUAAAAUUUUUAUAGAAUUUUAUUUUUUAGUCAAAAAGCUAAAAUAUAAUUAAAAGACGAGAAGACCCUAUAAAUCUUGAUAUUUAUAAUAAUUUUAAUUAUAAAGAUUUUUUAGAUUAUAAUUGUUAAAAAUAUUUUAUUGGGGUGAUAUUAAAAUUUAAAAAACUUUUAAUUUUGAAUUUACAUUAAUUUAUGAAUUUAUGAUCCAUUAAUAAUGAUUAAAAAUUUAAGUUACUUUAGGGAUAACAGCGUAAUUUUUUUGGAGAGUUCAUAUUGAUAAAAAAGAUUGCGACCUCGAUGUUGGAUUA